rnacentral:rRNA from 1 species
AUGCGUGCAGAGGUCCUUGUGUGUGACCCCAUCACCGGCGACCGGCGUCAUGUGCCGAUUCCGCCCGAGUUUAUGAUUGGCUACGUCAAGGGGACGGUGCUCUGUGCUGCACAGAACAAGGGCCACGUUCAUGGCGCUUGCCACUCCACCCCUCUCAAGGUGGUCUUGCUGGUUACGUGCCAUAAUGACAGUCCACCUCUCGCCUCUGUUUAUUCCUCCGAGUCUGAUACAUGGGGCGAUAUCAUCUCUGCAAAGGCUCCAUGUCCGAUCUACUCUGGUGGUUAUCUUAGCACUCUUGUUGGCAAUGCGUUUUAUUGGCCACUUAUGCAUGCCAACGAUGGUAUACUUGAAUUUGAUUUGGAUAGGCAGAGCCUAGAUGUGCUUGAGGGACCUCCUGGAACGGAUAUUCCCCUCGGCCAUCAGAUCAUCCCGGCAAAGGAUGGCACUGUUGGUAUUGCCAUGUUGUCUCGCCGUUACCAUGAUAUUCAAAUGUGGCAGAGGAAGGUCAAUAGCAAUGGUGUUGCCACUUGGGUUAUGUGGAAGACCAUUGGAACACAUAACAUUCCUGAGCUCCGACCACGGAUUGAAGGAGAGGAGCCAUGGGUGAAAUUUAUACUAGGAUAUGAUGAGGAUACUGAUGGAAUAAUUUUAUACGUGAAACACGACGUCUACAUGGUUCAACUUAAGUCGAUGCAAUGCAGGAGACUUUUUGGAAGUUGGAAUGUUACUCACUAUCAUUGUUUCAAGAGUUUCUAUGCGCCAGCUUCUCUACACCACUAA